GUUUCAAUUCCUCAUAGGCAGGCUAUCGGCGAGCACUUACCGGCACUCCCUGGCCGUACUUUAGGUG
rnacentral:sRNA from 1 species